rnacentral:antisense_RNA from 1 species
UGGACGGUGAAUUUCCAGAAGUCAUUCGACUCCACCACCGCCUGAUCCCCGAAGUGGUCUCCAUCGGCCAGCAUGUCGAGGGUGACCGCAUCACCAUACUGACCCUUCCCCAGCUUCUUGGCCUUGCCGUGGGCCAGCAGGUACACGUGGUCCGCGGGCUUGCCUGCCUCGACGAUGAGCUCGCCCGGCUUGUACUCCCGCUGAACGAACCGGCUGGCGAGGGCUCUGAGCAACGCGUCAUCGCCCUCCAGGCCGCGCAGCAGGGGCAGCUCGCAAAGUUCCUGGGGAACCACUUCCACCUUGGCGCCGAUGUUGCUGAAGCUCAGGCGCCCAUCCCCCACGGCAUAGGUCAAGCGGCGGUUGACGCGGUACACGCCACCCGGCACCUCCACCCAGGGCAGCAUUUUCAGCAGCCACCGGUUGGAGAUUCCCUCCAUCUGCGGCCGCGACUUGGUCGUCGUCGCCAGCUGGCGGGCAGCGUCCGUCCCCAGGCUCGUCUGAUGCUUCU